rnacentral:rRNA from 1 species
UACGUAGGUGGCAAGCGUUGUCCGGAUUUACUGGGCGUAAAGAGCGCGCAGGCGGUCGUUCAAGUCGCGUGUGAAAGCCCCCGGCUCAACUGGGGAGGGUCACGCGAUACUGAUCGACUCGAAGGCAGGAGAGGGUAGUGGAAUUCCCGGUGUAGUGGUGAAAUGCGUAGAUAUCGGGAGGAACACCAGUGGCGAAGGCGACUACCUGGCCUAUUUCUUGACGCUGAGGCGCGAAAGCUAGGGGAGCAAACGGG